rnacentral:rRNA from 1 species
ACGGGUGCGUAACGCGUAUGCAACCUACCUUCAACUGGGGGAUAGCCCGGGGAAACCCGGAUUAAUACCGCAUGACACAUUGGUAUAGCAUUAUAUUAAUUGUUAAAGAUUUAUUGGUUGAAGAUGGGCAUGCGUUCGAUUAGCUAGUUGGCAGGGUAACGGCCUACCAAGGCUACGAUCGAUAGGGGAGCUGAGAGGUUGAUCCCCCACACGGGCACUGAGAUACGGGCCCGACUCCUACGGGAGGCAGCAGUAGGGAAUAUUGGGCAAUGGAUGCAAGUCUGACCCAGCCAUGCCGCGUGCCGGAUGAAGGCCCUCAGGGUUGUAAACGGCUUUUAUUCGGGAAGAAGAGCGGGGAUGCGUCCCUGUGUGACGGUACCGAAUGAAUAAGCACCGGCUAACUCCGUGCCAGCAGCCGCGGUAAUACGGAGGGUGCGAGCGUUGUCCGGAUUUAUUGGGUUUAAAGGGUGCGUAGGUGGCUGAUUAAGUCAGUGGUGAAAUACAGCCGCUCAACGGUUGAGGUGCCAUUGAUACUGAUCAGCUUGAAAUAAUUGGAGGCUGCCGGAAUGGAUGGUGUAGCGGUGAAAUGCAUAGA